GACGAACGCUGGCGGCGUGCUUAACACAUGCAAGUCGAGCGGUAAGGCCCUUUCGGGGGUACACGAGCGGCGAACGGGUGAGUAACACGUGGGUGACCUGCCCUCAGCUCUGGGAUAAGCCUGGGAAACUGGGUCUAAUACUGGAUAUGACUCCACGGUGCAUGUCGUGGGGUGGAAAGCCUUGUGCGGCUGAGGAUGGGCCCGCGGCCUAUCAGCUUGUUGGUGGGGNGAUGGCCUACCAAGGCGACGACGGGUAGCCGGCCUGAGAGGGCGACCGGCCACACUGGGACU
rnacentral:rRNA from 1 species